UUGUGCAAGAGAAAGGUUGCUGUAUUUACCACGAUGAUUGGAAGACUGGCUGCUUUGACUCUUCUCUCUACAUUGUGUCACACCAAAGACCUGGCUCAGAUCUCUAUGAUUGUGGUCAAACCUGGUGAGGAUCUCAAUCUGACAUGUCCAACACUCACUGGGCAUAAAGCUGGUCUGUUUUACUGGUUUAAGCUGAAGUUUGGACACAUGAUCCAAACAAUUGCUGCAGGAAGUUUUGAAAAUGUAAAACUUGAAGAUAAAUUCGAAAACUCUAGAUUUACAGUCACAUUUAAGGAAGGCCUAUAUUUUUUAAACAUCAGAAAUGUGAACCAAGAAGAUGAAGCAACGUACUUCUGCCAGGCUGGAUCAGCGUAUGAAAUGAGAGUUCUAAGUGGUACUCUCGUAGCUGUAAAUGAUCAUAGAAAUCACCAGAACUCAGUCUACGUCAAACAAACACCGGAGAGGCAGUCCGUCCAGGAGGGCCACUCAGUGAGUCUCCACUGUUCCCUUCUCUCCCAGCACAAAGAAACCAGAGAGCAGUGUCCAGGUGAACAUGAUGUGUACUGGCUCCGAGCUGGAGUGGAAGAAUCCCAUCCAGCUGUCAUUUACACCUCAGAGACCACGAGAGUCAAAUCAGCGGGGAGAAGUUGUAUCUACAGUCUGUCAAAAACCAUUCACAACUCGUCUGAUGCUGGGACGUACUACUGCGCCGUGGCCACAUGUGGACAGAUCCUGUUUGGUGAAGGAACGACUGUCGACACAAAAAAAGAACAGCAGCUGUUUUUCAUUGUGCUCGGGACUCUGCUGCUCUACAGCCUGUUUGUGACUGCUGCUCUGAUUCUCUACAGAAACCAAAGGACGGUUUGUAAACAGUGCAAAGGAGAAAAAAUAGCCUCCAGUCAAGAAGACCAUCACAGAACAGCUGAAGAUCAACCAGAUACUGAGGCGUUGAUGACAUGCACUGAUGACAUGUACUAUACUCUGGAGCUGACCAGAGCAUGUGAGCGGAGCAGAGCGGGGAGCACGAGCGGAAGGAUUUUGGCCAGAGCGCAGAGCGUUUUUUAAAAAAAAGCUGGACCGGCACCUUAGCUUGCACUCCAUCCCGCUCCAAUUUUGCUCCGGUACCACUCACACCAUGCGUCUGAAGCAUGUCUCACCCAGAAUGCUCAGAUGCUCACACUUUUUUCUGUAGGCAACUGGACGACAACUCGAUAUACUAAAAUUAACACCAUCGUAAUUUUUUUAAAAACAUCAGUAUUUCCCCGUGUCUGAAACCGAGAAGAUGGUAAUAACAGAUUAACCGGGAUAGCGCCUUCAUUGCCACUGUGAGAGGAUUUAAUGACGUAUCUUUUUUCUUGAUCUUUUACGAGAUAAGGUGUCUAAUUUCUCUCCUAUCUAGUGAAUGCGAUGGGCUUCUGUGUUUUUGUUGAGUGAGCAGUGAGUGAGCUGAGUGGAGCGGGUAGAAAUUUGAGUGGAAGGUGGAGCGAUAAUUAGCAGAGCUAUGCUCUGGAGCUGACCAAUCAUUUUCUCCCUAUUUUUGUAUUGUUAUUUACCAGUGACUUUAUACAGAUGAUGUCACAUAGCAGCAGAGAAAAACCCUCAGGGCUCAAGAAGUGGUUUCUGAGAAACACUACCAAAAAUGCCUUGUUCUGAGCAUUUUAAGACAAUGCCAAAUGUUCAAAGUGUGAAAAAAGAAACAUGUAAGAGUUUUUGCUUAAAGGUAAAUUAUUUAUUUCGUUGCUGUAUAUCAGUCAUGUUUUGUGCUGCAGAGUAACUCUAUCUCCCUCACCCCCCCAACCUCUGUUAUGAUGUGGCCUCCCAUUGUAAGCAACCCCAGAAUGCUUUGUAGGUAGCCUUCUUGGCAAACUACAGGAGACAAUUUUUUCUCCCCAUCAUGUGGUCUGUAUUUUUUUUCACAGAGUCCUCAAUUCAACAGAAGUGAGCAGUGGAUGGAUUCACAUUCGGAUGGUGAGGAAGCAUCCCUGAACUAUGUAGCGCUGGAUUUUGCAGCAAGGAAAGCUCAAAGGUUUACAAGUAUCAGGGAGUCACCUCUGGACUGUACAUACU